AGACGUCUACAUUAGAUACCCGGUAGUCCCAGCCGUAAACUAUGCUCGCUAGGUGUCAGGCAUGGCGCGACCGUGUCUGGUACCGCAGGGAAGCCGUGAAGCGAGCCACCUGGGAAGUACGGCCGCAAGGCUGAAACUUAAAGGAAUUGGCGGGGAGCACAACAACGGGUGGAGCCUGCGGUUUAAUUGGACUCAACGCCGGACAACUCACCGGGAACGACAGCAAUAUGUAGGCCAGGCUGAAGACCUUGCCUGAAUCGCUG
rnacentral:rRNA from 1 species